GUUAAUUUAGACUACAACUUCCAGAAACUCUUAGGAGCAGGAGGGCAAGGGGAAAAGGAAGAGGAAGAUUGAGGCUGGAGUAAGGGGAAGAGAAAGCAGCUUGCACAUGGAACCUGGUCAGCCCUACACAAAGGAGCAGGAGGUCAGCCAGGACUGUGGACUGAAGGACCUGGACUCUGACUUGGGGGCAGUUGCAGGCUGCUUUUUGAUUGCUCCAGAGCAGCGGUUGUCAACUGGAGGUAUGCAUACCCUUAAGGGUAGUUAAAAGGGUCAUAAGGAGUAUGCAGGACUCUGCAUGCAUGCACACAGCCACAAGGCAGCAUGCAGGUGUCCAGGAGUGCAGCCUGGCCAUGUGGAGAGCAGCCAGGUCCAGCAGUGUCCCCCAGAAGAAUAGGAGAGCAUCAGUACCUGUAAACCAUCACGUUUGCCUUUACAUGAACCAUGCAAGAGCUAUUAAUAUACUGUUCUUCUUCCUCUCUACUGAUUAUCUGGUGUAUACCUUAUGAUCACCUGGAUAUUCUGCUGUGAUACCAUGUUUAUUCAGAUGCAGCAAAUUGGUUUUGCUAAUGACAUCUCUGAUAGCUUUACUACGGAUCUUUCAACUUCAGUGGAACUCUCUGCAUUCUCAUAUGGAAAGAAAAUAUUCUAUAAUAUCAGCUGCACCUUUCCUGCAAGGUAGAAAGAAAUAUGAGCUGACCGAUGGCAUUGUCUGCAGCAUUUUGCUUAUGAGAACAUCCUUCCAGCAAACUACUGUAUGUCAGCAGGAAAAUGGAAAUAACGUUUCUAUUCUGUCCUUAAGACAUGGAUCAAACAAUCUUGUCAAAAGAGAGCCUUUCAUUUUCAAGCAUUCCAUUGAUUCUGGAGUCUAUGCUACUUAGUGCGUGAAUUCUUUAUAGCAGAGAAUGUAUCUUACUACAUGCUGGUAAACUGCCGUGUAUGUUUUCACCAUUACAUCCAUGACUUGUAGUAAUAAUGAAAUAAGAAGAUGUAGAAAAACAUCAUUCUCUCUGCGGGACUGUUAAACUCUCUCAUUGCAUUUCAAAUCCUCUUUCCCUUUUUUCAGCAAGGAAUUUUGUUAUAAAAUAAUUGGCAGUCCUAGACUUGCAUUAUAGUCUAUAAAUGUUCAAGGAACCAUUUUAAAUUCUGAAAUGGAAAGGUAUUUCUUGUCAGCUUUAUUAAGAAACAUAAGAUUAAAUCUGGAUGAAUGGUGCUAUACAUUUCAAUAAUACGGAUAGUAUAACAAGCAUAGAAAUAUAUAAUUAACUAAGAUGCAUAAAUAAAAUGUAUUAUCCAUUUAUAUUUGUUAGAAUAUACAUCUGUUUGUCCAUGUUCAUAAAUGUCAAAUUUGCUGGCUGUGUAUGUUAUUGCCAUAAUGUUGUACUAAGCAAAUAUGAAAGCUGUGGGUAUUUACAUUGCUGAUAUGGUAGCCAUUUGGGGAGGUGGUGGGUUGUACUGACUGAAUUGAAAACCAUCAAUGUAUAUGACAAAUCAAUUUCAAAAUUUACAAUGAAUAUAUAGCAAAAGAUGUGGACAUUCCUUUUACCAAAAGAGGGAAAAUUCGUUAAAUUAUAUUUGGGGAUUAGUGGGGAGGGGGAGAAAUUAUAAUCAGGGUGUGUAAGCUCAUGUGUGUUGUUAUAUUUUCUCUUGAUAGUUGUAAACUGAUCAUUUUGGUAUCUCUGUGGAACUGUUAUCUAUGACACAUUCUUUCUAGUUUAGGUUGUUGAACUUUUCUAUAUACAACCUUUUUGUUCCACAAGGAUUCUGGAGAUAUUUUUAUGAGUGAGAAGAAGCAAUAACAUCUUUUUCCUAAUUUUUAGAUCUCUGAUUCCUGAAAAAAUUUUUUUUUAAUAUAACAAAAAUUUAAAGUGUGA